ensembl:lncRNA
AUGAGACUAGAUACUACAUUUCAUAAUGAAUCAUGUCUUUCUUUCUCAGGAAUUUGCCAUCAUGACAGAGGGAGCCACAAAGCAGGUUUCAGUGGACAGAUGGAAGGAAGCAAUCAUUUGCACCAUUGUGGGAAUGUGUCUUACAAUAUCUCAGAAAGUUCCUGUUGUAAUGGUAAUAUAACUCCAGGAUUAAGCCAAUUGGUGGCUGACUGCUGUGGUUCUGUAGCUUACAAUCCCCUUAAUGAGAUUUGCUGUAAAGGGAAUAUUCUGACUCAAAGCAGCACUCAUGUAAAAUGCUGUGGCAAAGACAUGUACGUGACAACGACUCAUUUGUGUUGUGGUGGCAACAACAUAUUUCAACGGAAGGAAGAUCAUUCUUGUUGUGGCAAGGAAACAUAUGACAUGACAACCCACUGCUGCUGUACUAACCUUACACUAGAAGUAAAGCCUAAAAAUGAAACUUGCUGUCCAAAAGCAACAGCUAAAAAGAAAGAAUUCCAGCUAGGCUCUCCUCCCACUCGCACACUCCCCAAAACCUCAGAACUGAAGUGUCGGACAAUGCCCUUCAAUCCCCAGGAAAAAAUUUGUUGCUCAGGGAAUCUGUACAAGAAGGCAUCAGCACUUACUAAGUGCUGUGGCGUAGAUGCUUACACUCUGUCAGAUGACAAUGUGCUGUGCUGUAAUGGAAUUCUUCAUCUCAAUGUGCCUGAGCAGUCUGAGUGUGUUGGAGGUGUUAUAUAUACUCCAGCAAACACUACUUGCCAAAUGUCGAUCCGUCCUCGUCUUGGCGAGCACUGCUGUGGAGGACAAACCUUCAAUCCUCGCACGCAUAUUUGCUGUAACGGACACAGCCACAGCAAGAUGAAUGGCAAUUUUUGUUGUGGUUCAGAAGUCUAUGACCACCACAACCAGUUCUUGAGAUGCUGCUCAGGUCAUCUCUACAACCUAACCCAUUUAAGUGGAAAAGCAGAGUGCUGUGGAAACCUAUUGCUGCAAUAUAAUAACAAUCAAACUUGCUGUUCCUCCUCAACCAAUUCCAUAAUUUAUCAGACCAAACCAAACCACCAUUGCUGUGGGCAUUACUACUACAACACGUCCUUGUGGAGCUGCUGUGCUGAACGUCUCAAACCAACACCAAAGCCUAACUGCCUUCCUGCAGAAUACAGACUUAAACCACUAACAGACCUGAUCCCUGAAAUGUGCAAUAAAACAGGUGAUGUUUUUGAAUAUUUGUUGUGGUGCAAACUGAAAUAGCAUUUUCUGGAAGCAGACUAAAUGAUCUCUUCAUUUGUGUGUGUGUGUGUUUCUAGUGUUCUUGGGCAAAGUGGAGAGUGUGGCACUUGAAAAUGAUCAGCGUCACAUUGUUUUGAAAGUUGUUUGGCAGGUCAAUGUAAAAUCAGAAAAGGACAUCAAAGACCCUUGGCUUCAUGUGUCCCUGGAUCACUGCAACUCUCCUGCCACAGACAACGGCAAAACCUACCUUUGGGAGGAAAAACACAAUGGGAAGUACAAGCUUCUCUCUCAUCCUGUUGACCUAACAUCUGACAUUUAUAUGUUAUAUUCUGUAUGUUACCAAAAGAAGGGAUAGACACAUGGAUUGAGGUCUAUUUCCCAUCAUUUCCAAAGCAUGCUGGUUGUAUUAACAUUUCUGUCCUGAGGAUAAUUUUUUAUCCUAAUAUUAUUUUAUCAUUAAUGCUAAAUGACUCUAGUAUGUGAAUGGCCACAAUAUUUAAAAGCUAAGAACUUUUGUCCCCUUAAGGCAACUUUCUGAAGUCUCUAAUGUGAGCAGCAUUAUGGCAGAGGCAUCACAUGUUGUGUAUCUGUGAAUUUUGCCUCGUUGGUUAAUAUAUUUCAACCUAAUAUUGGAUUGAACCCUGUAUGGAGUGUGCAAAAGGGAUAGUUCUCCCUAAAAAUGAGAAUUUGCUGCGAAUUUACUCACCUUUAGUCCAUCUAAGAUCUAGGUGACUUUUUGCUGAGUAGAAGAUUUUUAGCUGAUACCAUGGUUUUUGGUGAUUCAUAAAAUGCAAGUCAGUGGCUGCACGUUUUUGAGAAGAAAAAAAAAAAAAAAAAUGUAUUUCUAAGAAAAAAAAUUAAUACCCAUUGCUCUUGACAAUAUAUUGAGAAUUGAUCGGUCUGUGCAAGAAACACGGGUUUACAUGUCUAGAGCACAUUAAGUGAUAACCUUUUUACAUAAAGAGAAAUCAUACUUUAACCAUACAUUUUUGAUUGAUUAACUUGUAGAUCUGUGCUGCUCAACUUGCCAACUGUUUCGGAUGAUUCGGUCCAAUUUGUUGAACUGGUUCAACUACCAAAAAGAAUUAGUAAAAAAAAAAAAAAAAAAAAAAACCGGAAAUCUUCUUUACCAUUCUGCUGAAGCGUAAAUGUCACCUACAUCUUGGAUGGUCUGAGGGUGAGUAAAUUAACAGCAAAUUUUCAUUUCUGGGUGAACUAUUCCAUUAAGCUAUUUGGUUAAAAGCAUCUGCCAAAUGAAUAAAUGUAAUGAAUGAAUACA